AGAGUUUGAUCCUGGCUCAGGACGAACGCUGGCGGCACGCUUAACACAUGCAAGUCGAACGAGAGAAGAGGAGCUUGCUUUUCUGAUCUAGUGGCGGACGGGUGAGUAACACGUGAGCAAUCUGCCUUUCAGAGGGGGAUACCGAUUGGAAACGAUCGUUAAUACCGCAUAACAUAAUUGAACCGCAUGAUUUGAUUAUCAAAGAUUUAUCGCUGAAAGAUGAGCUCGCGUCUGAUUAGCUAGUUGGUAAGGUAACGGCUUACCAAGGCGACGAUCAGUAGCCGGACUGAGAGGUUGAUCGGCCACAUUGGGACUGAGACACGGCCCAGACUCCUACGGGAGGCAGCAGUGGGGAAUAUUGCACAAUGGAGGAAACUCUGAUGCAGCGAUGCCGCGUGAGGGAAGAAGGUUUUAGGAUUGUAAACCUCUGUCUUCAGGGACGAAAAAAGACGGUACCUGAGGAGGAAGCUUCGGCUAACUACGUGCCAGCAGCCGCGGUAAUACGUAGGGAGCGAGCGUUGUCCGGAAUUACUGGGUGUAAAGGGAGCGUAGGCGGGAUCGCAAGUCAGAUGUGAAAACUAUGGGCUUAACCCAUAAACUGCAUUUGAAACUGUGGUUCUUGAGUGAAGUAGAGGUAAGCGGAAUUCCUAGUGUAGCGGUGAAAUGCGUAGAUAUUAGGAGGAACAUCAGUGGCGAAGGCGGCUUACUGGGCUUUAACUGACGCUGAGGCUCGAAAGCGUGGGGAGCAAACAGGAUUAGAUACCCUGGUAGUCCACGCCGUAAACGAUGAUUACUAGGUGUGGGGGGACUGACCCCUUCCGUGCCGCAGCAAACGCAAUAAGUAAUCCACCUGGGGAGUACGACCGCAAGGUUGAAACUCAAAGGAAUUGACGGGGGCCCGCACAAGCAGUGGAGUAUGUGGAUUAAUUCGAAGCAACGCGAAGAACCUUACCAGGUCUUGACAUCGUAUGCAUAGCUCAGAGAUGAGUGAAAUCUCUUCGGAGACAUAUAGACAGGUGGUGCAUGGUUGUCGUCAGCUCGUGUCGUGAGAUGUUGGGUUAAGUCCCGCAACGAGCGCAACCCUUACUGUUAGUUGCUACGCAAGAGCACUCUAGCAGGACUGCCGUUGACAAAACGGAGGAAGGUGGGGAUGACGUCAAAUCAUCAUGCCCCUUAUGACCUGGGCCUCACACGUACUACAAUGGCUGUCAACAGAGGGAAGCAAAGCCGCGAGGUGGAGCGAACCCCUAAAAGCAGUCUUAGUUCGGAUUGUAGGCUGCAACCCGCCUACAUGAAGUCGGAAUUGCUAGUAAUCGCAGAUCAGCAUGCUGCGGUGAAUACGUUCCCGGGCCUUGUACACACCGCCCGUCACGCCAUGGGAGUCGGUAACACCCGAAGCCUGUAGUCUAACCGCAAGGAGGACGCAGUCGAAGGUGGGAUUGAUGACUGGGGUGAAGUCGGAACAAGGUA
rnacentral:rRNA from 1 species